rnacentral:tRNA from 1 species
CGGAUGUAGCUCAGUUGGUAGAGCAUCACCUUGCCAAGGUGAGGGUCGCGGGUUCGAGUCUCGUCAUCCG